rnacentral:lncRNA from 1 species
UCCGGCGGCGUGCCAAGGUGAGGUACAGGAGGUGACGACACUGCCACAGAUCCAUCUCCACCCCGUCAAGGUGAGGUACAUGGGCGACCCUAAUGGCUGGGUCCAAGUACGUAUUUAUUUGCAUUAGGCCUAUAAUUUAGCUGCAGAAAAAAACGUCAUUGGGUCUGGCCCAUCACCCAAGUAGUAGCAGUUCCAUAAUCCAAGAAGUAUUGUAGAUGGAAAGUCUGAUACAUCGUCGUAACCCAUGCAUUGACUCGUGGGAUCGAGGAAUACACGCAUGCAUCGCAUCAGGCAUGCUGCGGGUGCCACCUUUUCUUCUCUAGCUCAGAUCGUGCCAGAUGAACCAGGAAGGAGGAGUUCCAGAUCUCAACUUCUCAAGUGGUGCGCGCCGUAGAUCUGCGGCG